rnacentral:ncRNA from 2 species
GAAUUAUAAAGAGGAGUUGAGAGACUGGGCUCUAUGAAACUCCGACAACCUCCGGAACUUUCCGAAAGGUGCCAAAACCCGGCCUGAUAACAGGAGUUAUAAUUU